rnacentral:rRNA from 1 species
UGCGCAGGCGGAAUAUUUAGUCAGUGGUGAAAUCUCUCGGCUCAACCGAGAAAUUGCCAUUGAAACUGAUAUUCUUGAGUAUGGUUGUGGUAGGCGGAAUAUAGCAUGUAGCGGUGAAAUGCUUAGAUAUGCUAUAGAACACCGAUCGCGAAGGCAGCUUACCAAGCCAUUACUGACGCUCAUGCACGAAAGCGUGGGGAGCAAACAGGAUUAGAUACCCUGGUAGUCC